rnacentral:rRNA from 1 species
GGGCUAGCGUUGUUCGGAAUUACUGGGCGUAAAGGGCGCGUAGGCGGUGGAUCAAGUCAGGCGUGAAAGCCCCGGGCUCAACCUGGGAACCGCGCUUGAGACUGGUGCGCUAGAGUUCGGGAGAGGAUGGUGGAAUUCCCAGUGUAGAGGUGAAAUUCGUAGAUAUUGGGAAGAACACCGAUGGCGAAGGCAGCCAUCUGGACCGACACUGACGCUGAGGCGCGAAAGCGUGGGGAGCAAACAGG